UAAGAAGGGGAUUUGUUAAAAGCCAGCACCCUUUCUCUCUCCCAGUCCUUGUAUUUUCCCCCUUUCAUAUCCCCAUGAGAAGAGCGAUUUUUGCUUGAUUAUUCUCCGACACCGCAACUGGGAUUUCUAAAAUUGCCACUCCAGCAGCGUUUUGUCAGAUUUAUGAAUUUUGUCAGUGAAGGGAUGCCAUUCUCGCUCUAGCGUGGACACAGCCAGAGGAGGAGGAAAUGGAGCCAGAAGAGCUGCACAGAAGACAUCGCACUAAUGGAGCCGGUCACAGAUGUCCUGAUGGAGUUCCUAGAGAUCGAAUCUAUACACACUGGCAUUGUGUAAAUCCAGUUUCCAUAAAACAACACUACACAUACAGAAGCCAUGACAAUUAGGGAAUAGUCACCAUUUGUAAGGUAGCUAUCUCUCAGGUUAAAUAAGGCUAUGUCCCAGAGACUUUAUGGUUACUGCUUACUGAGGCUACCUAGAUUCCAUAUUCUCCUACUUAUUUGUCUACCUUUUUUAUGUGGUAAAUUAUACUCUUGCUCCAUUGCCACCGGUCCGAGGCCUAUCAAGGGUGCAGCGGGGCAACCAGUCCAGUUUAAAUACCCAGACCUGCCUGCCAGUCCAAUGACCCUACAGAGACAGGCAUUGAAGCGCUGCCUGGUGCCUCUGUGGGCCCAGAUCCUGGUCUUCCUCAUCUUGACUUGCCUCCUCGAACUCAUCUACUCUGCCAUGGAGCACAGCUCGGACCAUCCCUUUGUGGCCUUGCUGGACAACCUCAGUAUGGGGACAGCGACUGAGGGACUGUCGCUCCAGUAUGACCCUUAGGACUCAUCUGUACACCCUCUCUAGGGAGGAGUAACUCUACUGCUCUAGAUCUGUGUACUGACUCUCCACCCUUCUCCUAAAGGGAGAAAUCAUUUUAUGCAUGAAUUUAAUAAUGGAUAAAACUUAAUCCAGCCAAUGCUUAUACCAAUCCUAAACUUUAAAAUCCAUGAUGUGAAGUAGUGCACACUUGGGGGUUAAGGAAGGAUGCUCCACAAAUUGGUUUACAGUUGUGAGGAACUUAAUUUGGUCACUGUAAUUCACCUUUUCACUUUGGAUGAUGCCACUCUUAACCAAGCAAGGUCGCCAUUAUAACCUUGUUGGUUGGAAAAUGUUCAGAUGAAACUACUGUUCAAAUAUAUACAGUGAUGCUGCAAGUGCAGAAAAUAAAGUGAUUAGGCCUAAUUUAGAGAAAUAAUACCAUUUUGAGAUUUGUAACUGAAUGGAAGAUGUAUUUAAUUAAAAGUAUGUAUCAAGGAGAACUGAAUGGCGUUACGGCUACAAUUUACACAUUGGUUCAGUUGGGGUUAUCAAAGUCCAGUCUGUGUUAGAGUUCAUCAAAGAUGUGAUCAGGGACAGUAUUCUCUUGUUUUAAAGGUUUUGUAAAUGUAUUUUUAUUCAGUAGUUUUUGGGCACUGAAAUGUCAAACUAAUAAGCAAUAUUAAAAAAUAUAUUUUGUGAAUACUCAUUACCUUUUCGAACCUAUCUGUAAUUUUUCCGUUUCUAUUUUGGGUGUGAAAUAGCUACUUUAAACAAAAAAUGUUAGGGAAUUCAGUGUUUUUUUUUUCAAGAGUUGCUUUUGUGUUUGAGUUAUUUUGAAUAAAGAGAUUUGUUUCAUUUGGA